CCUACGGGUGGCAGCAGUGAGGAAUAUUGGUCAAUGGUCGGAAGCCUGAACCAGCCAUGCCGCGUGAAGGAUGAAGGUCCUAUGAAUUGUAAACUUCUUUUGUUCGGGAACAAAAACUAAAACGCGUACCCAGUUGAGUGUACCUGAAGAAUAAGCAUCGGCAAACUCCGUGCCAGCAGCCGCGGUAAUACGGAGGAUUCGAGCGUUAUCCGGAUGUGUUGGGUGUAAAGGGGGCGAGGGCGGUGUGUAAAGUAAGGGGUAAAAGUCCGGGGCUUAACCCGGGUCUGCAGUUGAAACUGGUAGUCUAGAGUGGGAGAGAGGUAUGCGGAAUGUGAGGUGGAGCGGUGAAAUGCAUAGAGAUCGUGCAGAACACCGAUUGCGAAGGCAGCAUGCCGGGCUAACACUGACGCUGAGGCACGAAAGCGUGGGGAGCGAACAGGAUUAGAUACCCUAGUAGUC
rnacentral:rRNA from 1 species